GACGAACGCUGGCGGCGUGCCUAAUACAUGCAAGUCGAGCGAAUCAUUAGGAGCUUGCUCCUGAUGGUUAGCGGCGGACGGGUGAGUAACACGUGGGCAACCUGCCUGUAAGACUGGGAUAACACCGGGAAACCGGUGCUAAUACCGGAUAAUUCUUUACCUCUCAUGAGGUGAAGCUGAAAGUCGGUUUCGGCUGACACUUACAGAUGGGCCCGCGGCGCAUUAGCUAGUUGGUGAGGUAACGGCUCACCAAGGCGACGAUGCGUAGCCGACCUGAGAGGGUGAUCGGCCACACUGGGACUGAGACACGGCCCAGACUCCUACGGGAGGCAGCAGUAGGGAAUCUUCCGCAAUGGACGAAAGUCUGACGGAGCAACGCCGCGUGAGUGAUGAAGGCCUUCGGGUCGUAAAACUCUGUUGUUAGGGAAGAACAAGUACCGGAGUAACUGCUGGUACCUUGACGGUACCUAACCAGAAAGCCACGGCUAACUACGUGCCAGCAGCCGCGGUAAUACGUAGGUGGCAAGCGUUGUCCGGAAUUAUUGGGCGUAAAGCGCGCGCAGGCGGUCCUUUAAGUCUGAUGUG
rnacentral:rRNA from 1 species